CCAGUAAAACCCAGUAAAACGCGGCCGGGCCACGCCCCUUUAAGCCACGCCCCCAGAGAACGUGAUGACGUCAUUGACUGGCCACGCCUUUAUUGGGUGGGGGGGGGAAGGCACUGGGGGGAACUGGGGUGAACUGGGAGGGACUGGGACGAACUGGGACAAACUGGGAGGGACUGGGAUGAACUGGGAGGGACUGGGAUGAACUGGGACGAACUGGUUUGAACCGGUGUGUCAGAUGCGGCCAGUGUGCCUCAGUUUCCCCAGCAGGCACUUGAUGCUCUCCCACCCGUACAGCGCUGGGACGGACUGGGAUGAACUGGGAUAUACUGGGAUGAACUGGGACAGACUGGGACGGACUGGGAUGGACUGGGAUGAACUGGUGUCGGAUGCGUCCGGCGUGCCUCAGUUUCCCCAGCAGGCUCUCAAUGCUCUAUACAGCACUGGGACAAAUCGGAACAAACUGGAAGAAACUGGGGUAGAACUGGGAUAUACUGGGAAGGCACUGGGACGAAGCGGGCUCAGAUGCGUCCGGCGUGCCUCAGUUUCCCCAGCAGGCUCUCGAUGCUCUAUACAGCACUGGGACAAAUCGGAACAAACUGGGACAAACCGGAACAAACUGGGGUAGAACUGGGAUAUACUGGGAAGGCACUGGGACGAAGCUGGGUCAGAUGCGUCUGGCGUGCCUCAGUUUCCCCAGCAGGCUCUCAAUGCUCUAUACAACACCAGGACAAACCGGGACAAACUGGAGUUGAACUGGGAUAUACUGGGAAGGCACUGGUCUGAAGGGGGCUCAGAUGCGUCCGGCGUGCCUCAGUUUCCCCAGCAGGCUCUCCACGCUCUAUACAGCACCGGGAUAAACCGGAACAAACUGGGACAAACCGGAACAAACUGGGGUAGAACUGGGAUAUACUGGGAUAUACUGGGAUAUACUGGGAAGGCACUGGAAAGGCACUGGUCUGAAGGGGGCUCAGAUGCGUCCGGCGUGCCUCAGUUUCCCCAGCAGGCUGUCAAUGCUCUAUACAGCACCGGGGUGAACUGGGACGAACCAGAACAAACUGGACUUGAACUGGGACAGACUGGGACGAAGCGGGCUCAGAUGCGUCCGGCGUGCCUCAGUUUCCCCAGCAGGCUCUCCACGCUCUAUACAGCACCGGGACAAAUCGGAACAAACUGGGACAAACCGGAACAAACUGGGGUAGAACUGGGAUAUACUGGGAAGGCACUGGUCUGAAGCGGGCUCAGAUGCGUCCGGCGUGCCUCAGUUUCCCCAGGGCACUCUAAAUCCUCUGUACAGCACCGGGACAAAUCGGAACAAACCGGAACAAACUGGGGUAGAACUGGGAUAUACUGGGA
rnacentral:lncRNA from 1 species